CAUUGAAGUCGUUGGGGCUGAGCUGCGGUAUUAGGUGGCCUGUCUCGGUGUGCAGAACCAGAUGAAAACGUUUAUGGUCAUUCCAGCUCACCCAGUGCCCGCUUCAGUGACUUCCAAGGACCAGCUCUACCUACAACUGGGACAGAGAGGUACCAGGGACACCACGUGUGAAAGAGACAAGAGCCAGUGUCUCGUCUGAGAGACCAGCAGGAGCUGAAGAAGGGGCAUUGCAAGUUUAAGGCCAGACCACAAUGGCUGCUGAGAGAGUGACUUGGUCUUCCCCAGGGAUGAACCCCCAGCUGAUGAUCCGAUACCAUACCGUCCAGCCUGAAAUCCUAUACAUACCAACAACAGUAAAGGGACUGAGCAGGUUGUAUUUACAUGCUUACACACAUAUGUGUGUGACAAUAGUAAAGAAAACAAAACUGUGAAUCUGAGAGAGUAAGGGGUUGUGGGAAGGGUUGGAGGGAGAGGACAUGAGAGAGGUUGGAGGGAGGAAAGAGAAGGGGAAUGACAUAAUUAUAUUUUCACAAAAUUUAAGAAACUCUAAGUUGACAGAAUAAAUAAGAAUAAGCAAAGAGCACAAAGAAAGAAUAGGCACAACAAAUGACUGAACUAACACGAGUGCCCGGAGGACAUUUGAAAAUAUCUGAAACGUUUCCACCUUCUAUAAACCGUGAGAGGAUACGCGUGUGUGCAUGUGUGUGCUUACUAUUGUCAGCUAACGGGUGGAAGCUAAAAUUGUGUCAAGUCUUCUUCAGAGAGGUAAAGUCCCCUGGGAUAAACAUUGUAUCUAGCCCGAGAUAUAAAUAAAUACUAAGGUUGAUAAAA